ACACUGAAGGGAGGUGGUCCGAGACAUGAAGUCUCUCCGGACGCGUGAGGUGGCUGCCCGCUAGUCGCCCGAAGCAUCGGACGGAUUGCUCGAUCCGCUGAUCGCCCCGCCGGCAACCCGGCCGGGCGGCUGGUGAAUCUCCGGCAGUCACCGCAGCCCGUGGGUUGCCGCGACCUCGUCCUUCGCGGCAGGACCUCUUCCGAGGGGUCCGGCCCACGGGCUGUUGCCU
rnacentral:sRNA from 1 species